rnacentral:rRNA from 1 species
UACAGAGGGUGCGAGCGUUAAUCGGAAUUACUGGGCGUAAAGCGCGCGUAGGCGGUUUUGUAAGUCGGGUGUGAAAGCCCCGGGCUCAACCUGGGAAUGGCAGUGGAUACUGGACAGCUAGAGUGCGGUAGAGGGUAGUGGAAUUCCUGGUGUAGCGGUGAAAUGCGUAGAUAUCGUAAGGAAGACCAGUGGCGAAGGCGGGUCUCUGGACAGUUCCUGACGCUGACGGGCAC